rnacentral:rRNA from 1 species
AUGGAGGAGAACAGUUCUGUCAGUGAGCAUAUACUCAAAAUGUCUGGGUAUAAUAAUCACUUGAUUCAAUUGGGAGUUAAUCUUCCAGAUGAUUGCAUCAUUGACAGAAUUCUUCAAUCACUGCCAUCAAGCUACAAGAGCUUCAUGAUGAACUAUAAUAUGCAAGGGAUGAACAAGACUAUUCCCGAGCUCUUCGCGAUGCUGAAAGCUGCGGAGGUAGAAAUCAAGAAGGAGCAUCAAGUGUUGAUGGUCAACAAGACCACUAGUUUCAAGAAAAAGGGCAAAGGGAAGAAGAAGGGGAACUUCAAAAAGAAUGGCAAGCAAGUUGCUACUCAAGAGAAGAAACCUAAACCUGGACCUAAGCCUGAAACUGAGUGCUUCUAUUGCAAGCAGACUGGUCACUGGAAGCGGAACUGCCCCAAGUAUUUGGCGGAUAAGAAGGAUGGCAAGGUGAACAAAGGGACUACGGAUCAAGCGAAGAUUGGUUAA